rnacentral:misc_RNA from 1 species
UACAGAGGGUGCGAGCGUUAAUCGGAAUUACUGGGCGUAAAGAGCACGUAGGUGGGUAAGUGUGUUGGUUGUGAAAGUCCCGAGCUUAACUUGGGAAGGUCAUCCAAAACUGCUUAUCUAGAGUGCAGUAGAGGGAAGUGGAAUUUCCGGUGUAGCGGUGAAAUGCGUAGAUAUCGGAAGGAACACCAGUGGCGAAGGCGGCUUCCUGGACUGAUACUGACACUGAGGUGCGAAAGCGUGGGGAGCAAACAGG